AAUAGAUACCCUGGUAGUCCACGCCGUAAACGAUGAGUGCUAAGUGUUAGGGGGUUUCCGCCCCUUAGUGCUGCAGCUAACGCAUUAAGCACUCCGCCUGGGGAGUACGGUCGCAAGACUGAAACUCAAAGGAAUUGACGGGGGCCCGCACAAGCGGUGGAGCAUGUGGUUUAAUUCGAAGCAACGCGAAGAACCUUACCAGGUCUUGACAUCCCAUUGACCACUAUGGAGACAUAGUUUUCCCUUCGGGGACAACGGUGACAGGUGGUGCAUGGUUGUCGUCAGCUCGUGUCGUGAGAUGUUGGGUUAAGUCCCGCAACGAGCGCAACCCUUGUUCUUAGUUGCCAUCAUUUAGUUGGGCACUCUAAGGAGACUGCCGGUGACAAACCGGAGGAAGGUGGGGAUGACGUCAAAUCAUCAUGCCCCUUAUGAUCUGGGCUACACACGUGCUACAAUGGACGGUACAAACGGUUGCCAACCCGCGAGGGGGAGCUAAUCCGAUAAAACCGUUCUCAGUUCGGAUUGUAGGCUGCAACUCGCCUACAGU
rnacentral:rRNA from 1 species